UCCUGCCUUCCCCAGCUAGCGGCUGGCACCUCCUUGCCUGGGUGCUGUUCAAUUUAUCUUAGGGUUGAAAAGUUACAGUUGGACUGAUCACUGAAUCCGCAAAUCAGGAAAGAGCUGGAGGGAGGGUGCUCAAGCUCCAGAAGAAUGGAAAACUUGGGAUGGAGGGAAAACUAGCUUCUGGGCAGAGUGUGCCACCCUGAAAAAGUCAGCCAAUGAGGAUCCAGGGAAACGUGAUUGGGUGCACCGGCCAUUUUUACCAUUCUCUCUCUGCAGAUUGAUGCCCGGCUUUGCAAUGUCUGUAAUAGACUUCUUCGCUGCUGGGUCUCCAGGACUCUAUGAGGCCAUUUCUGCAAGGAAAAGUUUGCCAAUAAAACGAGGCGUAAGGCAAGCUCAACCUUGAACAGAGCAUGAAUGGCGAGAACCAGUGUCUGAUACCCAGCAUCCAACAGGGGAGCUUACAACCAUUCCUAACUCCAACUCCAGGGACUCCAGCGCCCCCUUCUGGCCUCUGAGGCUACUGCACACAGACAAACAUGCAGGCAAAAUAUGUAAAUACGUAAAAUAAGGGUAAAUAAAUUUUAAGGAAAAACAGAA